GGUUAGGGUAUGGAUUAAAAAAGAAAAAAAGGGAAAACAAGGGGCUUUUGGUUUAGAAUCGAUGUUACAUCAUGUGUUUGUUUCUUUUAUUUCCUCGGUUUUCUUUUCUUAUUUCUUUUUCACAUACUGCCCUUUUCCGUGCUUCUUUCUUUUGAAUCUUCGAGUAGUCGUUUUUUUUUAUUUUUCUUUCUUUUUCUCGAUUCAUCAAUUUUUCUUUUUCUUUUAUUUUUGCACUUUCUUGGGCUUUGAGAGCUUUUGGGGUUUUUACCCCAAACUUAGCUUUUCAACACAGCUUUGAAUGCAUUCUCAUGACUCUGAACAGGGUGAGG
rnacentral:lncRNA from 1 species